rnacentral:rRNA from 1 species
CCUACGGGAGGCAGCAGUAGGGAAUAUUGCGCAAUGGGGGAAACCCUGACGCAGCGACGCCGCGUGAGUGAUGAAGGCCUUAGGGUCGUAAAGCUCUGUUGAAUGGGAAGAAAAAAAUGACGGUACCAUUCGAGUAAGGACCGGCUAACUUCGUGCCAGCAGCCGCGGUAAU